GCCCAGGUGGCGGAAUUGGUAGACGCGCAGGACUUAAAAUCCUGUUUGCCAAAAGCGAGUGCGGGUUCGAUUCCCGCCUUGGGCA
rnacentral:tRNA from 1 species